GCCCCGGUGGCUCAGUGGGUAGGGCACCAGCCCUAUAUACCGAUGGUGGCAGGUUCAAACCCAGCCUGGGCCA
rnacentral:tRNA from 1 species